AUAAGCGCCGGUAAGGUGAUAUGAACCGUUAUAACCGGCGAUUUCCGAAUGGGGAAACCCAGUGUGAUUCGUCACACUAUCAUUAACUGAAUCCAUAGGUUAAUGAGGCGAACCGGGGGAACUGAAACAUCUAAGUACCCCGAGGAAAAGAAAUCAACCGAGAUUCCCCCAGUAGCGGCGAGCGAACGGGGAGGAGCCCAGAGCCUGAAUCAGCAUGUGUGUUAGUGGAAGCGUCUGGAAAGGCGCGCGAUACAGGGUGACAGCCCCGUACACAAAAGCGCAUGUGCUGUGAGCUCGAUGAGUAGGGCGGGACACGUGGUAUCCUGUCUGAAUAUGGGGGGACCAUCCUCCAAGGCUAAAUACUCCUGACUGACCGAUAGUGAACCAGUACCGUGAGGGAAAGGCGAAAAGAACCCCGGCGAGGGGAGUGAAAAAGAACCUGAAACCGUGUACGUACAAGCAGUGGGAGCCCCACCACUAAGCCAGUGGUGAACUCCACAUACGCAUCCUUUGCUGAGGAUACGGUUAACGGAGCGAAAGCGACGUUCAACCUCAAAAGAAGCAGAGGGGGCUUAGUGGUGGGGUGACUGCGUACCUUUUGUAUAAUGGGUCAGCGACUUAUAUUCUGUAGCAAGGUUAACCGAAUAGGGGAGCCGGAGGGAAACCGAGUCUUAACCGGGCGUUAAGUUGCAGGGUAUAGACCCGAAACCCGGUGAUCUAGCCAUGGGCAGGUUGAAGGUUGGGUAACACUAACUGGAGGACCGAACCGACUAAUGUUGAAAAAUUAGCGGAUGACCUGUGGCUGGGGGUGAAAGGCCAAUCAAACCGGGAGAUAGCUGGUUCUCCCCGAAAGCUAUUUAGGUAGCGCCUCGUGAAUUCAUCUCCGGGGGUAGAGCACUGUUUCGGCUAGGGGGUCAUCCCGACUUACCAACCCGAUGCAAACUGCGAAUACCGGAGAAUGUUAUCACGGGAGACACACGGCGGGUGCUAACGUCCGUCGUGAAGAGGGAAACAACCCAGACCGCCAGCUAAGGUCCCAAAGUCAUGGUUAAGUGGGAAACGAUGUGGGAAGGCCCAGACAGCCAGGAUGUUGGCUUAGAAGCAGCCAUCAUUUAAAGAAAGCGUAAUAGCUCACUGGUCGAGUCGGCCUGCGCGGAAGAUGUAACGGGGCUAAACCAUGCACCGAAGCUGCGGCAGCGACACUAUGUGUUGUUGGGUAGGGGAGCGUUCUGUAAGCCUGCGAAGGUGUCUCGUGAGGGAUGCUGGAGGUAUCAGAAGUGCGAAUGCUGACAUAAGUAACGAUAAUGCGGGUGAAAAACCCGCACGCCGGAAGACCAAGGGUUCCUGUCCAACGUUAAUCGGGGCAGGGUGAGUCGACCCCUAAGGCGAGGCCGAAAGGCGUAGUCGAUGGGAAACAGGUUAAUAUUCC
rnacentral:rRNA from 1 species